AAAAAUAACGAUACGGGACUCAUCCGAGGCCCCGUAAUCGGAAUGAGUACACUUUAAAUCCUUUAACGAGGACCCAUUUGAGGGCAAGUCUGGUGCCAGCAGCCGCGGUAAUUCCAGCUCAAAUAGCGUAUAU
rnacentral:rRNA from 1 species